rnacentral:rRNA from 1 species
AUUGAACGCUGGCGGCAUGCCUUACACAUGCAAGUCGAACGGCAGCACGGGUGCCUGCACCUGGUGGCGAGUGGCGAACGGGUGAGUAAUAUAUUGGAACGUACCUUAUUGUGGGGGAUAACGCAGCGAAAGCUGUGCUAAUACCGCAUAAUCCCUAAGGGGGAAAGCGGGGGACCGUAAGGCCUCGCGCAAUUAGAGCGGCCGAUACCUGAUUAGCUAGUUGGUGAGGUAAAGGCUCACCAAGGCAACGAUCAGUAGCUGGUCUGAGAGGACGAGCAGCCACACUUGGACUGAGAAACGGCCCAGACUCCUUCGGGAGGCAGCAGUGGGUAAAUUUGGACAAUGGGGGCAACCCUGAUCCAGCAAUGCCGCGUUAGUGAAGAAGGCCUUCGGGUUGUAAAGCUCUUUUGUCAGGGAAGAAACACCGGCUCUAACACAGUCCGGGAAUGACGGUACCUGAAGAAUAAGCACCGGCUAACUACGUGCCAGCCGCCGCGGUAA